UCUGGGUCCAACCUCCCACCCGUGUCUAUCGUACCUUGUUGCUUCGGCGGGCCCGCCGUUUCGACGGCCGCCGGGGAGGCCCUGCGCCCCCGGGCCCGCGCCCGCCGAAGACCCCAACAUGAACGCUGUUCUGAAAGUAUGCAGUCUGAGUUGAUUAUCGUAAUCAGUUAAAACUUUCAACAACGGAUCUCUUGGUUCCGGCAUCGAUGAAGAACGCAGCGAAAUGCGAUAAGUAAUGUGAAUUGCAGAAUUCAGUGAAUCAUCGAGUCUUUGAACGCACAUUGCGCCCCCUGGUAUUCCGGGGGGCAUGCCUGUCCGAGCGUCAUUGCUGCCCUCAAGCACGGCUUGUGUGUUGGGCCCCCGUCCCCCUCUCCCGGGGGACGGGCCCGAAAGGCAGCGGCGGCACCGCGUCCGGUCCUCGAGCGUAUGGGGCUUUGUCACCUGCUCUGUAGGCCCGGCCGGCGCCAGCCGACACCCAACUUUAUUUUUCUAAGGUUGACCUCGGAUCAGGUAGGGAUACCCGCUGAACUUAAGCAUAUCAAUAAGCGGAGGAA
rnacentral:rRNA from 1 species